rnacentral:tRNA from 1 species
GUUUUAAUAGUUUAAUAAAAACUUUGGUCUUGUAAACCAAAAUUAAGAAUUUCUUUUAAAACU